CAAAGGAAAUGCAGGAGGAGGCUGCCAGCACACCCACGCCCCUUGCGACGCGUUCUCCAUGGCAGCAGCCAAAGCUGCAGAGAAGUGAGCAUGACCGGAACUAAGUGGGCUUGCAGAAUCACAGGCCCCUCAGAGAUUUGCAGGGCAGACAGCAAAGAAAAGGAGGCCAGAGGCCUGUGGCAGCCUGUCCCCAAGCCACACAGCCAGGAGAUGGCAGGGCUGGGACCAGCGGGACAGCCAAGGAGAUGGAAAGAUCAGAUGACAUUGAAAAUAUUCACAGCCAGCCUGGCUGGGGCCUGGGCAGUCAGAACAAACACCCCUGGAGGCAUUGGACCCCAGCAGGUGCCCUCGGAUUUUACAGCCCCGCGCUCCCUCGAGAACCCUGUGCUUUCUCUAGGACAUAUCAGUCAGACGGCGGAGGAAAUAUCCCAAAUGCUGGGAACAUCCUGUGUCACGGUGUCUCCCGGGCCCAGGCGACAUGUGGAGAGCUCUUUCUGGUGUUGGAAAAACACAGUGGAGCCGUUCAUAAUGCUGGUGUUAAGGGGCAGAAGAAAUGCCCCCUUGGUGACAGACAUCCCCAUGUCCAGGCUCCAGUGCAACCUGGGACUCUGAGCCGGCACAUGACAUCCAUGAGGAUGAGCUCCGUGCAAGCCAGGACUUCCCCCGCACAGGACUCUCCCCUGGAGCAGCCACAGCAAAGCACCUACAACAUGUGGCUGUAACAGCAAGUGGGUUUCCAGAUCCCGGAUCUCCUCCACCUGCUUCAUCUGAUUUGAAUCACCCAACAGCACUGUACCCAGGGGAUUACACGCCAUUCCCAUUUCAGGGAGUGAAACUGAAGCAAUGCUCUUCUGUAGCUCAGAGGCUUUGCAAAUGCUGUUCCUCCUGCUCAGAUUACUUUUCAAUGUGACCGUGAUAAAGUGGGCCAGAGUGAAGCAUGUAAAGCACUUAGAAGCCCUGAGCCACCGUUUAAGAAGCCUGGCUGCCCUGAAGCCACCGCCAGGAGAGAGAAGCCUGAGACGCCCCGGCAACCCGCAGCCCAGCCAUUUGAGACAUUCCAGCCCAGAUGCCCGGAGAAAAAGGCUUUCAGAUGAGCCCAGGCCCAGCCACCAUCUCAUGCAGCUGGUGAGAGAUCCUGAUUGAGACCCACAAUGCUGACCCCAGGCAAGACCUGGAUUGGGGAGCCACUGUUUGGGGGUGUUUUGUUACACAGCAAUAGCUGAGCCCCCCUUGCACUCUAGGGCCCUUGAGGAGAGGGUGACCAAAGCUGACAAAUUGCCGUAAAGAGACCAUGCCCCAGCUGAGCCGCCCUCAGUAAGAGCCUUGUGGGGACUAUGACUUCUGGUUUCAGCAGCAUUUCAGGAAACGCCGGUGACAAGGCUUUGGGAAGGGUGAUGACAGCGAGGGCAGGGAUGCUUGACUCUCCAGACAGUGACGAUUCAGGCGGGAAACAGCAGCUACUUUGCUACAGGGAUCCACGAAAGUGUCCAAGGAGGAGACGAGGCCGUGGCUGAGUGCACAGUGGGCACCCGGUGGAGGGGGGUUCACGUGCAUUGUCACUUCUGCUCUCCCACCGCCCUGGGAGUCAGGCACGAUUAGAACUCCAUCUCUGGAGAGGAGGCUGGGAGAUGUAGAAUAACUCAUCCAGGACACAGCCUGUAACUCCUGGAGCUUGGAUUUGAACAAGGUUGGUCAUUCUGCUUUCCUUAUCGAUAACAAAAUGGAUGGGAGGAAGGUGGGGGGAGGGGCCACACUAUUGGACCUCUGCCCCCAAAGGGUUCAAUAGAGCUGUGCAAAUUUAACAUCCAGACACUCUGUCAAAGAUGCCGGGGAAACUCUCCUAGGGGAGUUAAUGAUGUGAAGUUCAAUGGACGUAAGGGCUCUUACCCUCAGAGGGCAGGUCAGCCAGGCCUGGGUUUGACCCCUGCUCUUCCCUCGCCAACCGUACACCUCAGGCAAGCUAGCUCUUGUAAUAACGUGUCCUCACAUGGAAAACUGGCACAGUCCACAUUCCAGAGGGUGGGGGUCCCAUCGGACAAUAUGGAUCUACUGAAGCCAGCAUGGGAUGGAAACUUCCUGCUGCUUGGACCAAUGUGAUCAUGUCAUAUCAUGAUCAUGUCACGUCACCCGAGGACUGCACUCCCGGGCUCCCCUCCACGGCAGGAUGGGAAGCCAGGUGUGAAAGUGCUACCUAGGAACACUGGGAAGCUCCCUGGGUGACCUGGGCUCCACCUGACCUGGCCGUGGUCCCCUUCCCUCCCCUCCGGAGGGAACGAGGGGCUUCCCUAACCAACAACGUCAGCCCCUUCCUCUUCUUUCUUGGCUUCUCCAUGACCAAGGCCAAUGUCAGAAGAUCUUCCCAGGACCUGUCAGCCACAGAGUGCGAUUGUGAAAAGGGGGUCUGUCUAUGCUGGGUGCGGAACCCUGGUCCUGUCUGUCUAUGCUGGGUGCGGAACCCUGGUCCUGUCUGUCUAUGCUGGGUGCGGAACCCUGGUCCUGUCUGUCUAUGCUGGGUGUGGAACCCUGGUCUUGUCUGUCUAUACUGCGUGCGGAACCCUGGUCCGAGGAUGCCCA
rnacentral:lncRNA from 1 species